rnacentral:rRNA from 1 species
AUUGAACGCUGGCGGCACGCCUUACACAUGCAAGUCGAACGGUAACAGGUCUUCGGAUGCUGACGAGUGGCGAACGGGUGAGUAAUACAUCGGAACGUGCCUAGUAGUGGGGGAUAACUACUCGAAAGAGUGGCUAAUACCGCAUGAGAUCUACGGAUGAAAGCAGGGGAUCGCAAGACCUUGUGCUACUAGAGCGGCCGAUGGCAGAUUAGGUAGUUGGUGGGAUAAAAGCUUACCAAGCCGACGAUCUGUAGCUGGUCUGAGAGGACGAUCAGCCACACUGGGACUGGGACACGGCCCAGACUCCUACGGGAGGCAGCAGUGGGGAAUUUUGGACAAUGGGCGCAAGCCUGAUCCAGCAAUGCCGCGUGCAGGAUGAAGGCCUUCGGGUUGUAAACUGCUUUUGUACGGAACGAAAAGCCCCGGGUUAAUACCCUGGGGUCAUGACGGUACCGUAAGAAUAAGCACCGGCUAACUACGUGCCAGCCGCCGCAGUAA